AUAUAACGUUACAUAACUAUAAUAAUAUAUUUAUAUUUUGAUGUUUUUCUAUAUUUUAUUUUAUUAACAUUGAUAUUAAUUACUAACUCAUCGUACAUUAUUAUAUUGCUUAAUAAAUAAUGAGAGGGUCCCGUGUUUUCUAUAAAUACGACAUUGUACUUGUCUCAUAUUAUAAGUAAAUAUUGGAGCAAGGCGGCCACAAUUCGAACUUAUAGUUUCAUUUAAUAAACUAACCAUUGGUUCUAAGAGGUAUGUAGUUGGAUCACUCCCAAGUUGAUACUAUUAACCAGAAAGCUCGAUAAACAGCUCGAAAAGCAGGCUGUUUGUUUGUCCAAAAUGUUGACCUUGAACCGUGAAGAACUGCAAUACCGUUUUCUUCUGCAGAUUUACAAUUACUCAUGUACAUACAAUGAUCUGAUCGAUAGUUAUAUCGACAAGGAUAAACAUACACUUUAUCUAAUGUUUUAGAGUACAUAAAUAUAUAUUAUUUACAUAUUAAUAAGUAGAAUACUACGUAUA